GUCCAUUCCACUGCAGUAACUACGGUGGAAGACAGAGCCACACGGCGGCAGGCUAAAACCAGAUUAAGGUGUGUGACUGCGAGGCUGCAAGGCUCCAAGGGAGACGUCUGAGAUAAAAAAAAAAAAUUAAAUAAUAAUAAUAAAAUGGAGAUGAGCCAGUUGGAGGCAUCCAAUUUCAUACUGCUGUAAUAUCUGCAUUCAGUAGAUGCAUCACUACGUACGUAGCUGGCUUGCUAAACCAAGUUAAAGAUACAAUGUCAUGUCUUUGACUUCGCCUGGCUGUAUUUCAAGUGUAUUUCAAGGCUAGGCACAAUGAAUAUUCAUAUAUAAAUUUUAUGUUUAUAUAUUUGACCACUUCGUUAGAGAAGAGCUUUCUCUUACAGAGCUCAUGUCUUAUGGAAUCAUUUCCCUUUUACAUGUUUGGGCCUAAGAUGCACUGUUUUUAAGUGUAGGCUCAAAGUGUAGGCUCAAAACAUAACUAUUUAGUCAAUUGUUUUGUUUAAAGAUGUCUAGGAAGGGUAAUUCAGGACCACAGAGCUGUUAUGUGAGCUGGCUGACUGUACUGUUGCCAUGUCACUGCAUGUGGACAGUCAGGUUUGCUGUUCUGUGCCUUGUUGGGGUACUAUCUGUUCAGGAUCACUCUCAUGGUUGUAUACACCCCAUUUCUUCAUAACUUUUAGGUAUGCUGCCAUAGCAUAGCACACUGGGGUUUUUCCACAUUACACUCAGGCUUCUACAUAUGCAACAGUUAAUCUCAUAAUUAUAGAGUGCCUAAUCCUUCUUCUCUUCUCGGGGGUUUUUGCCCCUUUACCCACCCUGAGUUUCCUCAUCACAGGUUCAAGCCCAAUGCCAUGACGCAACCGGGAGGCCUAGAUGCACCACCCUGGUUCCUCCUGAGAUUUAUUCCCACAUGGGAGUUUUUUCCUUGAUAACAUUUGUGUGUGUUUUAUUACCACUGGGGAGUUUUAUUUUAACCUCUAUUUUUGCUCGCUUUUUGAGGGCUCAGGUUUCAUAUUCUGCCCAAUUUUCUUCUGCAUUUUCCACCGUAAAGCGUCUUUGUGACAGUGUCUCUGUGAAGAGUGUUAUAAAAAUAAAAUAAAAUUGAAUUGAA